AAUAAACGAAUUUACGUGUUUUGAAUAGAAUUUUUGACUCUUCGUCUUAUUUGAAAAUUUUUUAUAAUUAAUAUUUUUAUUAUUACUACAUGAUAAAACAUAAAUAAUACUUUAGAUACAACUAAUUUUUUUUUAUUUUUUAAUAAAUUUUUAAAUAAGACGGAUGAUCAAACGGUCGAUAUAGAAAACCUACA
rnacentral:pre_miRNA from 1 species